AUUGAACGCUGGCGGCAUGCUUUACACAUGCAAGUCGAACGGUAACAGGCCGCAAGGUGCUGACGAGUGGCGAACGGGUGAGUAAUGCAUCGGAACGUGCCCAGUCGUGGGGGAUAACGCAGCGAAAGCUGUGCUACUACCGCAUACGAUCUAUGGAUGAAAGCGGGGGACCGUACGGCCUCGCGCGAUUCGAGCGGCCGAUGUCAGAUUAGAUAGUUGGUGGGGUCAAGGCCUACCAAGCCGACGAUCUGUAGCUGGUCUGAGAGGACGACCAGCCACACUGGGACUGAGACACGGCCCAGACUCCUACGGGAGGCAGCAGUGGGGAAUUUUGGACAAUGGGCGCAAGCCUGAUCCAGCAAUGCCGCGUGCAGGAAGAAGGCCUUCGGGUUGUAAACUGCUUUUGUACGGAACGAAACGGUCUGGGUUAAUACCCUGGGCUAAUGACGGUACCGUAAGAAUAAGCACCGGCUAACUACGUGCCAGCCGCCGCAGUAACAC
rnacentral:rRNA from 1 species